UGUAUGCUGUUUUCAUUAACUGGAGCGUGAAGCCCUGAGCCUUUUUUUAGUUUCAAAAAAUCACAUUUCUGUCGUAGAAAUUUCUUAUUCUUUUAAAAUUGCAUGCUUGGUUUGCUUGGAAUUUUUUUAUAUUUCAGGCUAAAGAUAAACAGAAGAAGAAACGGUCAACAAAAGGAGUACGCAUGACUACCGAUGGUGAUGCAACUUUAGAGAACCUUGAUGAAGACAUUCCAGCUGUGUUGGAUGAAUCUAAUCCUGAGAUUGAUACAGAUGUUGGAGCCUCAACUUUUAACAGCAAGAAGGUAUUACUUAUAUACUUUUAAUAUGCUUUUUAAUGGUGAUGCGAAGUUCUAUACGGACCUUUAAGUCAUGUUUUCUCAGACCUUUAUAAAAUUGCUUUAAAGCACAUUUCUUUCUAUUCUAAAUCUAUGGAUUUUUUCAGAGAAAAUCUGCUUCAAAACCGCAAUCAUCAAAAUCUAAUAAGCGUACAAAGACUGUGAGGAUUACAAAUAUUGUUUCUACAACGGAGUUAGAAGAUGAUGAUAGUAAUAUCCAACCUAAUAAAUCAAAGAAAACAAAGAAGAAGAGUGUCAAUGGGUACCUUGAACCAGAAGCAGCCGUCGUUGCAGGGUUUCCAGCCAUUCCGUCUUCGUCUCAACAAUUUAAUGAAUGUCAUCAAAAUCCGCC
rnacentral:lncRNA from 1 species